GACGAACGCUGGCGGCGUGCUUAACACAUGCAAGUCGAACGGAAAGACCCGGCUUUUGUUGGUUGCUCGAUUGGCGAACGGGUGAGUAACACGUGAGUAACCUGCCCUUGACUUUGUGAUAACUUCAGGAAACUCGGGCUAAUACCCGAUAUGAGCUCCUGCUGCAUAGUGGGGGUUGGAAAGUUUCGGCCGUUGUGGAUGUUCUCGCGGGUUACCGGCUUGUUGGGGGGGUUGUGGCUGACCAAGGCUUUCACGGGUAGCCGGCCUGAGAGGGUGACCGGCCACAUUGGGACUGCGGUACGGGCCAGAAUGCUACGGGCGGCAGCAGUGGGGAACAUUGCGCAAUGGGCGGAAGCGUGAUGCAGCAACGCUGUGUGCGUGAUGAUGGCCUUCGGGUUGUAAACCGCUUUCGCAUGUAAUGAAGAGUGAGUGACGGUACUGGGUAAAGAAGCCACGGCUAACUACGUG
rnacentral:rRNA from 1 species